rnacentral:rRNA from 1 species
CAGCAGCCGCGGGAAUACGUAGGGUGCAAGCGUUAAUCGGAAUUACUGGGCGUAAAGCGUGCGCAGGCGGUUAUAUAAGACAGAUGUGAAAUCCCCGGGCUCAACCUGGGAACUGCAUUUGUGACUGUAUAGCUAGAGUACGGCAGAGGGGGAUGGAAUUCCGCGUGUAGCAGUGAAAUGCGUAGAUAUGCGGAGGAACACCGAUGGCGAAGGCAAUCCCCUGGGCCUGUACUGACGCUCAUGCACAAAAGCGUGGGGAGCAAACAGGAUUAGAUACCCCCGUAGUCCCUGUCUCUUAUAC